UGAAGAACAGAUGAGCUGACCUAUGGUGCAGAGUUUAGUAAAUGAAUCCAUGUACCCUAAAUUAAGCUGCUCCCUCGUCACAGAGCAUCGAUCAGCUCCAAGGCUGCCACAUCUAGUGUGGAGUAACUGGCGAUGGCCUGUCGGAGACCUCCGAGCAACAGCAGCAUCAUAGUAUCAGUGUAGGAAACUCUAAGGCCCCGUUUGGAAGCAACCAGAUUUUGAGAAUCCAGAUUUUAAAGUCCGAUCGGCUUCCAAUCAGGUCAGAUUCUAGUGAAGAUUCGGAAGCCAGAUUCUCGGAUUCUCAAAAUUCUGGAAUCCGGAGAGGAGUAGCUUCCAGCAUGUACUGGUUGGCAAAAUUACAAUUUUGCCCCACAAUUUCUGUAGAACAGAGCCAAUCUCCCGUCCUCCUCCCCGUUCCAUCUUCCGCCGCCCGCCGCUCCCGUCCCCGCCAAGGCGAGCCGGCGCGUGGCCUCGUGCUCCAUCAGCCGCUGCCCCAGCUCCCCCUCCCUCCCUCCCCGCCUUCUCCCGUCCAGCCCGUCGACCCCACCUGCUCCUCGCGCCCGUCCUGCCCGAUCUGAGCGAGGUUUGACCACCGACGCCGGUUCCAGGCCGAAGCAGCAAGGGCGGCUGGCGGCCGCAGAUGGAUUCGAAAGGGGUCCUCGACAACGACGAGUUCUGCUGGGACUCCAACGCCACGGCGACGAAUCUGGGGCUCGACUUCUUCAGCCAGCCCCCGAGCUUUCCCUAGUGGCGUCCUCCUCCGGCGGUCGUGGCGGCGGACGUCGUCAUGUAGCCGGCGGAGUGGAGGGGCUGAACCUCAAUUCGGAUGCUGUGGACAUCACCGACAACAUGUCGUACAUGGACCUUCUACGCUCGUCGCCGGCCGGAUUGGUUGGGGAUGAUGACCGCGGCGGCGCUGGGCGUGGCGCUGGUCGUGGCGCAGGCCGUGCUGCUGGCCGCGCUGCUGGGCGCGCUGCUGGGCGUGGCGCCGGCAGUGGACGUGUCGCUGGCCGUGCCGCCGCGGUGCCAAUCGGAGAAGCAGCUGACCAGGACGUCGACAUCCCUUCUCGGACAUCCGGAGGUGCACGAGGACAUGCUCGUGCCGCAUCGAUUCGUCCUCCUGUCACCACUGCGUCGCGCCAAUUCCGUCCACCACGUCCAGCUGGAGGACGAAACAAUGGCGCAACUCCUAGCGUCCCUGAUGCUGCCUUCGAUGUUGGCCUCCAGGAGCCUGGCGCAUCUACAUGGAGCCUGAAACCCUACGAUGAAGAGGCCGACGAUCUUCAGGAGAUCGAUGCAUCGAGAGCCAUGUGCUUGUGUAUGUUCAGAAAUCAGCGAGAGAUAUAAUGGCAUCUCUGAAUUGGAGCUGAGAAGGUCAUGACCGACAAGGAUGAAUGGGAUACCGGGCCUAGGGCCCAACCCAAAGAAAAAGGAAGAAGCCGAGCAAAGUUUAUUUAUUGUUAGGCACGAGAAUUUUAUUUUUUAUUUUAGCAUUUUACAAAAAUAUAUAGUCGGAUGAAAAAAUUGCAAAACUAGUCUACCGUGGCCGGCGGUAAGGCGCUCUUAGAUCUGAAACUUGUGUCGAUUAUUUGAGAACCAAUAUGACAUCAAAUGAAAAAAAAUUUAACUACAAAGUUGUAGAACUCGUCGAUAUCUACAAUUUCAUAUAAAGUUUAUCUCCAUCCGAGUUGAUAUGAAUUAGUUAUGAUUUUUUGAAAGUAUAAUGCGGAGGGGUGUACCGUUAGCCGGCGGUAAAGGUCUUCCGCCAGCCCAGGCGGCGGUUGGGCCGGCGGAAGCGGCUUACCGCCAGCUGGGCCGGCGACAGUAGACUAGUUUUGCAAUUUUUUCAUCCGACUAUAUAUUUUUGCAAAAUGCUAAAAUAAGAAAUAUAAAAGUAAAAAAAAGUUCUAGGCACGAGGACUCAUGUGCAUCUUGCAUGGGCCGCGGCCCAUCUUCUGAAUCAUCCAUGGCCCACUCUUCAGGCCCAAGCAAAGAAAGACCAUGCAGCUAUGCAUCUGAGGAUCCUUGGCAGGGCGACGACACUUGCUAGGAAGCAUGGAGGAGGAGAAAAAAGGGAGGAGGGGUCAACCGGAAGUACUGAAGAUGUCUGCUUUCUUUUGUUUCAGUCGUUGGUUCAUGUCUGUCGCGAACAGCAAUUACAUGGCUACUAGCUGUCCGUUUAAAUUUACAUGGUGUCCACUUUGUUGAGGUGUAGCCAAAAGCUAGUCUCCUAGCUUGAUUCAGGUUAGGUGCAUUAGGUAGGCUGUCAUCUUUCCUUAGCUGCUUCUAUGCUGAACUCUAGAAUUUCCGUUGCUUUCAGUAAUGGGAAUGGGGAACGCCUCGAUUCGGGAAAAAAAAAGUUUGAUGAUUUGGCAGCUAAAA